GACGAACCGUCCGAACGUUAUUCGGAAUCACUGGGCUUAAAGGGUGCGUAGGCGGCGCGGAAAGUUGGGUGUGAAAUCCCUCGGCUCAACCGAGGAACUGCGCCCAAAACUACCGUGCUCGAGUGAGAUAGAGGUGAGCGGAACUUAGGGUGGAGCGGUGAAAUGCGUUGAUAUCCUAAGGAACACCGGUGGCGAAAGCGGCUCACUGGAUCUCUACUGACGCUGAUGCACGAAAGCUAGGGGAGCGAACGGG
rnacentral:rRNA from 1 species